rnacentral:lncRNA from 1 species
UGACCUCUCUUUUCUUGCCCCUCUGUCUCUUCUUUAUGCUAUGCUGGAACAGAGAAGAAAGAAAGAAAAAAUGUUUUCUUUUAAAGGGCUUAUUUGAAUAGUUCACACUACUUUAGUGAGAAGGUGAAAAUCAUCACCUGAGGCUAUUUUCUGAGCUCGCUGGGGGUUCCAGAUGAAUUUAGCAACUCAGUCUGAUAUGUUCUCGGGAUAUAUCAAGGUCUGAACUUGUGGCAUUCUGUUGAUAGAAGCAUCUUUGACUUUGCACAUCUCUCUCCUGCUGCCAUGUGAAGAAGGAUGCGUUUUCUUCCCCUUCAGCCAUGAUGAAAACGCUGCCCAUUGUGUACAGAAUCUCCAUCAUAUCACCCAAACAGAAUCUGCCUGACCAUGUGAACAACAGUUUUGGGGUACAUGAGCAGAGCAUGCAAGACAGUUGCGUAGGUACACACAUGGCAGUGUGCUUUGCUUUUCUUCUCCCCUUCACCCACAUUUGGCAUUUCUCCCCAGGCUAUCCCUCCCCACCUCCCCCUCCCACUGGCCCUCCCCUUUUCCCCCCAAUAGACCCCAGUGUUUAGUACUCCCCUUUCUGUGUCCAUGUGUUCUCAUUUUUCAUCACCCGCCUAUGAGUGAGAAUAUGCGGUGUUUCAUUUUCUGUUCUUGUGUCAGUUUACUGAGGAUGACGUUCUCCAGAUUCAUCCAUGUCCCUACAAACGACACAAACUCAUCAUUUCUGAUUGCUGCAUAAUAUUCCAUGGUGUAUAUGUGCCACAUUUUUCCAAUCCAGUCUAUUAUCAAUGGGCAUUUGGGUUGAUUCCAGGUCCUUGCUAUUGUAAACAGUGCUGCAAUGAACAUUCGUGUACAUGUGUCCUUAUAGUAGAACGAUUUAUAGUCUUUUGGAUAUAUACCCAGUAAUGGGAUUGCUGGCCUUAGAAAUAGAAAUUCCAUUUGACCCAGCAAUCGCAUAGCUGUGUUUUUUAAGAACACUGUGAAUCCUAUCACUCAUGGUGCCUCCUUGUAUUUCAGUUUACACUAGAAAAUGGAGUAGUUGCCAUAAUUUGGUCUACAAAUAUCACCAGUUUUAUUAUAUUUAUUUUAUUUUGAUAAAAAUUAUGCAGCCAUGAUGUGUCUCCUUUUCUCACAGUGUCCUCCCAUAGUCUAAUUGCACAUAAACCGUAAUUCAUUUCAGUGACUUAUAAAUCAGAACAUUCUCAUGCAGUAUAUUUUUCUUCUUAGCAAACACACAUACCCAAACAUAUA